CAGCCGCCGCGGUAAUACGAAGGGCGCAAGCGUUAAUCGGAAUUACUGGGCGUAAAGCGUGCGUAGGCGGUUUCUUAAGUCUGCUGUGAAAUCCCCGGGCUCAACCUGGGAAUGGCAGUGGAUACUGGGAGGCUAGAGUGUGUCAGAGGAUGGUGGAAUUCCCGGUGUAGCGGUGAAAUGCGUAGAGAUCGGGAGGAACAUCAGUGGCGAAGGCGGCCAUCUGGGACAACACUGACGCUGAGGCACGAAAGCGUGGGGAGCAAACAGGAUUAGAUACCCCUGUAGUCCCUGUCUCUUAUAC
rnacentral:rRNA from 1 species